ACAAAUGUCAAGCAACAUCACCUCUACAAACUACUAGUAAUACUACAUCAGAAAUUUCAGAAACUGAUUCUUCUCAUAAUAUGAAUGAAGCUAAUCUAGAAAAUCAAGAGGAGGAAGAUGGAGUAGGAGAUUAUGGUGUUUCAUUAUUACAUUUUGAUUUUAAAACAAAUAAAGACGAAGAAGAGACUCAAUCAUCUUCAUCUAGCAGC